rnacentral:rRNA from 1 species
UACGGAGGGGGCUAGCGUUGUUCGGAGUUACUGGGCGUAAAGCGUGCGUAGGCGGUGUCUUAAGUUUGUUGUGAAAUCUCCCGGCUUAACCGGGAGGGUGCGGCGAAUACUGAGAUGCUGGAGUGCCGGAGAGGUAAGCGGAAUUCCUGGUGUAGCGGUGAAAUGCGUAGAUAUCAGGAGGAACACCUGCGGUGUAGACGGCUUACUGGACGGUAACUGACGCUGAGGCACGAAAGCGUGGGUAGCAAACAGG